rnacentral:rRNA from 1 species
UACGUAGGGGGCAAGCGUUGUCCGGAUUUAUUGGGCGUAAAGAGCGUGUAGGCGGCCGUACAGGUCAGCUGUGAAAACUCGAGGCUCAACCUCGAGACGUCGGUUGAAACCGUACGGCUAGAGUCCGGAAGAGGAGAGUGGAAUUCCCGGUGUAGCGGUGAAAUGCGCAGAUAUCGGGAAGAACACCCCGUGGCGAAGGCGGCUCUCUGGGACGGUACUGACGCUGAGACGCGAAAGCGUGGGGAGCGAACAGG